GACCUCCUAACAAGUCCACACAUGCACCCAGUUUUAGGGUAUCAAUGGAGCAAGUUUGCUGUGCAGGUGAUGGCGGAGGACACAGUGGUGGUGGUGGUGGAGGAGGACAUGGCGUUUCAGUUGGUGGCGCAGGUGGUUUUACGGGGACGGGUGGAGGUCUCGUCACUAUUGGUGGAAGUGGUGGUGUGAUGGUGGGUGGUUUUGGCCCAUAGGGUGGUGGCAAUAGAGGAGGUGUAGGUGUGGGUGUGGGUGGGGGCUUGUAUGGUGGGUAUGAUGGCGCCGGUGGUUUUACGGGGACAGGUGGAGGUGGAGGUUUCGUGACUACUGGUGGGAGUGGUGGUGUGAUGGUGGGUGGUUUUGGCCCAUAGGGUGGUGGCAAUAGAGGAGGUGCGGGUGAGGGUGUGGGUGGGGGCUUGUAUGGUGGGUAUGAUGGCGCCGGUGGCUUUACGGGGACGGGUGGAGGUUUCGUGACUAUUGGUGGUUUGAUGAUGGGUGGUUUUGGCACAGAGGGUGGUGGCAGUAGAGGAGGUGUGGGUGUGGGUUUGUAUGGUGGGUGCACAACGGGAGGCUUGGGCUUGAAUGGAGGAUGAACAAUUGGAGGCUUGGGCUUGAAUGGAGGAUGUACAACUGGUGGCUUGGGAUGGAAUGGAGGAUGCACAACUGGUGGCUUGGGGUGGAAUGGAGGAUGCACAAAUGGAGGCUUGGGAUGGAACGGAGGAUGCACAAAUGGAGGCUUGGGGUGGAACGGAGGAUGCACAAAUGGAGGCUUGGGAUGGAACGGAGGAUGCACAAUGGGAGGCUUGGGAGUGAAAGGUGGCUUAACUAUGGGAGGUUUCGGUGGUGGCUUUAUAAUGGGAGGUUUUGGAGUGAAAGGUGGCUUAACUACGGGAGGUUUCGGUGGCGGCUUUACAAUGGGAGGCUUGGGAGUGAAAGGUGGCUUAACUAUUGGAGGUUUCGGUGGUGGCUUUACAAUAGGAGGUAGCACACGUGGUGGCGGUUUUACGACGGGAGGUUUGGGGGAGGGAUAGUGUGGUGGCUUAACUACGGGAGGUUUCGGUGGCGGCUUAACUACGGGAGGUUUCGGUGGCGGCUUUACAAUGGGAGGCUUGGGAAUGAAAGGUGGCUUAACUAUUGGAGGUUUCGGUGGCGGCUUUACAAUAGGAGGUAGCACAUGUGGUGGCGGUUUUACGACGGGAGGUUUGGGUGAGGGAUAGUAGGGUGGCUUUACAAUUGGGGGGUGUUUUGGUGGAAAUUUGGGUGGAAGGGGGGGAGGAAUUGGGUAUGGGCAGUAAGGACAUGCUAGAGAAAUAAGCAAUGUCCCCAAGUUGAGAAGUGCUACGAUU
rnacentral:lncRNA from 1 species